rnacentral:lncRNA from 1 species
AAGGUGUAAAGCUAUUAUACUAGCAAGGGACACUGAAUGAAUUCUUAGGGAAUAAAAGAGCUAAUAAGCUUAAUUCAAAUCUCAGCUCUCCUAUUCUCAUUUCCAUCUGUUCCUCUCUCUCUAACUACCCAAGCUUCUACACUUCUAAAAGUUCAAGUAAUAUCAAAUUCCUAAGAAUUGAAGCCAACAAUCUAAAAUUGAAGAAGAAUUGGAGCAACUCUUAUCAAAGAGAGGAGUC